GGCCAGUUAGCUCAGUGAUUUGAGCGCGGUGUUAACAAUGGCAACACUGAGGUCGCAGGUUCGAUUCCUGCUUGGUCC
rnacentral:tRNA from 1 species